GUUAUAAAUUGCUUGGGUUUUUUUGUUAAUUCAAGUUACAUUUCAUCUUCUGUUUUUUGGUCUGUAUUUUGCAUUUUUUUCACACAGUCAGCCCUCCUGGGUGAGGUGAUCAAGGCAUGUUCCACUGGUAGGAGGCCCUAGGGCACACCCAGGACACUGGCCUGGCCUGGCCUAACAAAAAUGAUCAAAAUGAUAGUAGUUUGUACUCAGUAGUUUGUCUGGCUUCCACAUGCUUGAAUGGAUACUUGACAACAUUGGGGCAUAUUCCUAAUGUGACGAUCGAACAUGUCCCGGUGGGUCUCCUUGGAGAUUUAGACCAGAGGAUUGCUGAGCUCUUGGACAUUUUGAGGUGCAACCUGGCAGCAUCAUAUGGACCAAAAUGAAAUGUCCCAGAGGUAUUCUGUGGGAUUAAGAUCAAGCAAAAGCAGAUACCAGUUCUGCUGAUGGGUUAAGGACUUUCUAAAUCCCUGCCGAACUCUCCUGGAAUAACUGUCUAUCGCCUGGAAUCUCCUCCACAUUCUUGAGACUGUCCAGGGAAACACAGCAAACCUUCUGGCAUUGGCAUGCAUUAAUGUGCCACCCAGGAGGAGUUGAACAACCUGUGCAACCUCUGUAGGGCCCUUGUAUCGCCAUCAUGUUACCAGUAGUGACCCUAGCCAAAUGCAAAACUGGUUUAAAAAAACAAAAACAACAACAAAAAAAGUCAGAAAACAUCAAGAAGGAAGAAUAUCAGCAGCUUCUGUUGGGUCUCAAAUUUUGAAGCCAAUAUAAUAACCUAAGCUGGACAGGGCAUAUCUGAUCCUCUUUUUAUAGGAGUCCCCAACCCCUCCUCCAGCUGCUGGGUAACUUUCCAUUCCUUGCUUUUUACUUGGACUGUAUUCAUUUUAAACUAAUAAGUAUUUUCUCAACUCUACAAGUGUCACUAUUAUCCUAAUUAUUGAUGUAAUAUGUUUGUCAAUACUUUUCCCCAAUCAGUUGUCAAUCCUACCUAUACUUUAUUCCUUUUUUAAUCUCCAACACUUGUGUUACAUAAAUUUCUGGCACUAUUCCAUAACUUGCCAAGCACUAUUCCCAGCAUCCAUCAUUUUUAUUUGGGUCCAAAAGUCUGCAAA
ensembl:lncRNA